rnacentral:rRNA from 1 species
UACGUAGGGGGCAAGCGUUGUCCGGAAUCAUUGGGCGUAAAGGGCUCGUAGGCGGCCAACUAAGUCAGACGUGAAAUCCCUCGGCUUAACCGGGGAACUGCGUCUGAUACUGGAUGGCUUGAGUUUGGGAGAGGGAUGCGGAAUUCCAGGUGUAGCGGUGAAAUGCGUAGAUAUCUGGAGGAACACCGGUGGCGAAGGCGGCAUCCUGGACCAACACUGACGCUGAGGAGCGAAAGCCAGGGGAGCAAACGGG